GGCACGCCCGAAGUCGUUACUCCAACCCUUGUGGAGGAGGACGCCGAAGGUGGGGCUGAUGACUGGGGUGAAGUCGUAACAAGGUAGCCGUACCGGAAGGUGCGGCUGGAUCACCUCCUAACAGGGAGACAAAACUGAUCGUGAUGUCUGAGUGCUGAGCUGGCAUUGCCAGCAAGGCAAACUUUAAUCUUAGGCCAUGAUCCUGUCAUCUCUAGGUCGAUCGGUACCUCGAGUGGAGAGCGGAAGCAAAGAUAGCGCAAGCCAUCUGUACGACUGUCUCUCGAUUUCAGUUCCUAAACUUUGUCUAGGUCACCCCACAGAGCCCAACCGGUAAGAGGGAUGGGGAUCAGAGGAGGAUUCCUGGGCCAUUAGCUCAGGUGGUUAGA
rnacentral:misc_RNA from 1 species